GCCAGAAGUCUGAGAAUCUUUCAGGGGAAGUAUGGGAGCAAUGCUGUGGGUGUUGCACUAACUCUGUUCAGUAAAAAGAACUGGGCUUGGAGUGACAGAGACCUAACUUCCCGUUCUGCCCCUGCCGGGGAUGUGUGCAAACCCAGGCAUGCUGUUUGAACUCAGCUUUGUCAUCUACAAACAGGAAUAACAACAUUCCUGCCAAGGGCUGUGGGGAAGAUCAGGGAUCAAGAUCACUCCACUUACCGGCUCUGUGGGAGGCUUGGUGCUGGCUGAGGUGUGUCAGUGACUGCCACGGGCUGCACCCCUCACUGUUGCCUGAAGUCACCCAAGGUCGCCCAAGGUCAGUGGGAAAUAUCCAGGGAUGACGGUGGAUCCUGGGAGCGCCUCACAACAGCUACCUUCGGCACAGCACGACUUUGGAAGGCCUAAAGUUUGAACCAAAAAUGGAGCCCCUGCCGCUCUCCCCAUAUGGGAUUCAAAUUGAAAAGCUACAAGGAAUGAAUGCUAUGGAUAAACUGCUGAAGAUGGUUCCUGUCCAUUUGACUCUGAAGGGUGUCUUCUUUCACGUUGAAGAACAGGAGACAAUCAAAAUGUGAAACGUAUGCUGAAGCCAACCAGAACAUCAAAGGACAGUCAAAAGCGCUAACCAUGAAACUAUAUUUCUACUAAUACAUUCUUUUAAAAAAAAAAUAAAAACAAACCUGCGUGUCCGUGCU
rnacentral:lncRNA from 1 species